rnacentral:lncRNA from 1 species
ACCCCAUGGACUGUGGCACUCCAGGUCUCCCUCUCCAUCAUCAACUCCCAAAUUUCACCCAAACCCCUGUCCAACAAGUUGGUGAUGCCAUCCAGCCAUCUCAUCUUCUGUUGCCCCCUUCUCCUCCUGCCCUCAACUGUUCCCAGCAACAGGGUCUUUUCCAGUAAGUCAGCUCUUCCCAACAUGUGGCCAAAGUUUUAGAGCUUCUGUUUCAGUAUUAAUCAUUUCAAUGAACACCCAGGACUGAUCUUUAGGAUGGACUGGUUGGAUCUCCUUGCAGUCCAACGGACUCUCAAGAGUCUUCUCCAACGCCACAGUUCAAAAGUGUCAGUUCUUCAGUGCUCAGCAUUCUUUAUAGUCCAACUCUCACAUCCAUACAUGACUACUGGAAAAACCAUAGCCUUGACUAGAUGGAUGUUUGUUGGCAAAGUAAUGCCUUGGCUUUUGAAUAUGCUAUCUAGGUUGGUCAUAAUUUUCCUCCCAAGGAGUAAGCAUCUUUUAAUUUCUUGGCUGCAAUCACCAUCUGCAGUGAUUUUGGAGCACCAAAAAAAUAAAGUCUGACACUGUUUCCACUGUUUCCCCAUCUAUUUCCCAUGAAGUGAUGGGACCGGAUGCCAUGAUCUUCGUUUUCUGAAUGUUGAGCUUUAAGCCAACUUUUUCACUCUCCUCUUUCACUUUCAUCAAGAGGCUUUUUAGUUCCUCUUCACUUUCUGCCAUAAGGGUGGUGUCAUCUGCAUAUCUGAGGUUAUUGAUAUUUCUCCUGGCAAUCUUGAUUCCAGCUUGUGUUUCUUCCAGUCCAGUGUUUCUCAUGAUGUACUCUGCAUAUAAGUUAAAUAAGCAGGGUGACAAUAUACAGCCUUGACGUACUCCUUUUCCUAUUUGGAACCAGUCUGUUGUUCCAUGUCCAGUUCUAACUGUUGCUUCCUGACCUGCAUACAGAUUUCUCGAGAGGCACGUCAAGUUGUCUGGUAUUCCCAUCUCUUUCAGAAUUUUCCACAGUUUAUUGUGAUCCACACAGUCAAAGGCUUUGGCAUAGUCAAUAAAGCAGAAAUAGAUGUUUUUCUGGAACUCUCUUGCUUGUUGCAUGAUCCAGCAGAUAUUGGCAGUUUGAUCUCUGGUUCCUCUGCCUUUUCUAAAACCAGCUUAAAAGUUCAUGGUUCACGUACUGCUGAAGCCUGGCUUGGAGGAUUUUGAGCAUUACUUUACUAGCAUGUGAGAUGAGUGCAAUUGUGCGGUAGUUUGAGCAUUCUUUGGCAUUGCCUUUCUUUGGAAUUGGAAUGAAAACGAACCUUUUCCAGUCUUGUGGCCACUGCUGAGCUUUCCAAAUUUGCUGGCAUUUUGAGUGCAGCACUUUCACAGCAUCAUCUUUCAAGAUUUGUAAUAAUUUGGAAUUCCAUCAUCUCCACUAGCUAUGUUCACAGUGAUGCUUUCUAAGACCUACUUGACAUCACAAUCCCAGAUGUCUGGCUCUAGGUGAGUGAUCACACCAUCGUGAUUAUUGGUCUUGAAGAUCUUUUCUGUACAGUUCUUCCGUGUAUUCUUGCCACCUCUUCUUCAUAUCUUCUGCUUCUGUUAGGUCCAUACCAUUUCUGUCCUUUAUCGAGCCCAUCUUUGCAUGAAAUGUUCCCUUGCUAUCUUUAAUUUUCUUGAAGUGAUCUCUAGUCUUUCCCAUUCUGUUGUUUUCCUCUAUUUCUUUGCAUUGAU